AACAGCAUGGUAUAGUGGUUUGAUUGUCGGAUUACAGCUCUGGAGACCAGGGUUCAAUUCUCUGCUCAGUCA